CGGGUGAGUAAUGUAUGGGGAUCUGCCUGAUGGCGGGGGAUAACUACUGGAAACGGUAGCUAAUACCGCAUAAUGUCUACGGACCAAAGCGGGGGACCUCCGGGCCUCGCGCCAUCAGAUGAACCCAUAUGGGAUUAGCUUGUAGGUAAGGUAACGGCUUGCCUAGGCGACGAUCCCUAGCUGGUCUGAGAGGAUGAUCAGCCACACUGGGACUGAGACACGGCCCAG
rnacentral:rRNA from 1 species